CGAGUCUAUUCGAGUCGGUUCUUUUCGGGUUUGGGUCGGUUCUUUUCAGUUCUGGUUCUUUGGGGUAAAAGAAAUUUAGACCAAAAAAAUACUUGUAAAUUUUCGGUUCGGUUAUGGGUCGGAUAUUUUCGGAUCGGUUCGGUUUAAGUUUUUGGGCGCAGGUUAAAAUAGGCCUAGCCUAUCUACUUGGGUCUUCGCUUCAUAGAGGCCCACUAAGUUUCUAUCUUCGUCAAUACGACUUCGUUUGAACUACACUCGGACUUCGUCAAUACGGUCUCGGGAUCUUCUUCUCCUUCCUCUACAUCUCUCCUCUUUUCUUCUCAUCGUCAUCUUUAAAACGGCCAAGGGGCCGUGACUCUCUACAGCCAUCACCGACGGUGUCAGAUUCCCCGCCGCCGGUGGCCAUACACCGCAUGCCGGAUCCGGCUGUCGUCAAAGAAGUGAAACGCGCGGUGUCUGUCCCCGUGAUGGCACGCACGCGCGUCGGUCAUUUCAUGGAAGCUCAGAUCCUGGAGUCUCUGGCCGUGGACUACAUGGACGAGAGCGAGAUCAUCUCAAGAUCACUUUAUCAACAAGCAUAACUUCCGAUAUGCGGGUGCCGCGACACUGGGGAGGCGUUGAGGGAAGGCGCCGCGAUGAUUCGGAUAAUCAGUGGCUUCUCCCCGAGAGAUUCCUCUCUGCGUCUGCGCAUUCUCUUCCUUGCUUGCUAUCGUACGAUCAUGAUGAGGAUGUUGCAACUCGAAAAACUUCUUCGUCGAUCUUCUCGGUUUGCAUCAUCGUCUUCUCUUAAGAAUGAUGAAAUCAACUACAGGCAUUCCCAUGAGUUUCUGGUAUCUCUCUCCUGAAUCGGAAUAUCAAACUGGCUGAGAAUAAAAGGUUCUCACACAGAUCCCGGAGCAAUUCAUGCCAGCUUUCUUAAGUUGGGGUUCAAAACUGAUCAGCUGCUAAGCAAACAACUUAGGCUCUAUGGAUCGUGUGGUUCUGUUGAGGAUGCAAAGAGGUUGCUUUAUGAUAGUUACAAUUCCAAACUUGCUGGAGUAGCAGUUUGGAAUUCCAUGAUAGCUAUCAAUGGUGAUGGGAAUGAAGCAAUCACCAUGUUCGAGAACAUGCCUCGGGGAUUGAGCAAAACACAUGCCACCUACUGGAACACAAUGCUCGGUUGUUCACAUAUUGGUGAGACAGGCUACGCCCACUAUUUAUUGGGAAGGGCGUUUAAAUGCUUUGGUAUUGAGCCAAUCAUGGAGUUGUUGGGUACUUACAUCGACGGUUUAGCCAGGCACUGCGAGGGUAAGAAAGCAGUAACAACAUUGAAGGGUAUGAGGUACAAGCCAAAUCAGGAGAUGGUGGUGAGUAUAUUGUCCAAGUACGAUCUGAACGCUGAUCCUUCUACAUUUGCUCAAGAUUUUGUUCAGUAUCUUGAGGAGCAACGAGUGAGCUUCUAUAUAAUGAACUUGCGUCUGAAGUAGGAGUUGUUUGGAAGUCGAACGUGAAGAUUCAGAGGAGAAGGAAGAGUACUAAGGGUUGUUCCAACAUAUGAAGAGGAGAGGAGAGAGGCUCUUCACCCAACACUCUGGAGCUUUAGUUUCUUUUUUUUCCAGAUUCUUGGAACUUUCUUCUUUUACCAGCACAUUUAAAUACCGAGUCUUGACGUUGAGGUGAACGUCUAUGUCAAGGAUUGAACAUCUAGUUGGUGUUUGAGAACCUUUAAAGCUUUCUAUGCAACAGGUCGCCAUUUGAAGUU